ensembl:lincRNA Gm26599 predicted gene, 26599
CAAGUUGGAGAGGAAAGGGUUUAUUUAGCUUACACUUCCAUGUUGCUGUUCACCAAAGGAAGUCAGGACUGGAACUCAAGCAGGUCAGGAAGCAGGAGCUGAUGCAGAGACCAUGGAGGGAUGUUUCUUACUGGCUUGCUUCCCCUGGCUUGCUCAGCUUGCUUUCUUACAGAACCCAAGACUACCAGCCCAGAGAUGGUACCACCCACAAGGGGCCCUUGUCCCUUGAUCACUAAUUGAGAAAAUGCCCAACAUCUGGAUCUCAUGGAGACACUUUCCCAACUGAAGCUCCUUUUUCUGUGAUAACUCCAGCCUGUGUCAAGUUGACACACAAAACCAGCCAGGGCAGUGAGUCUGAGUGUAGAGGUGUGACUUCCACAACAAGAAUUUAACCACUUCCCCUGGAUGUGUAGCUCAGUUUGUAGACAACUUGUCUAGGAUGCACAAAGCCCUAGGUUCCAUCCCUAGCACUGCAUAAACAAAGUAUGGUCCCCUGUGACGGCAGCACUUGAGAGGUGAAGACUGACAGAUCAGAAGUUCAAGAUCACUCUCGGCUACAUAUAGUCAGUCCAACUGGGAGACAUGACAGCCUGUCUAAAAACAAAACAAAACAAAACAAAACAAAACAAAACAAAACACCAACCGACAAAACACCCAAAGCAACAAACACAGCACCGCAGCAAUAACUCGACAGAAACCUGCCUACACAGAGAACAGAAGCAGCAAUGGCACUCUGAAAACCAAGGGACAAAAGAAAGCCACACCAACGCACACAGUAAGGCGGCCAGGCUUGUUCUCUUGUCUUCUAUAAGCUUCAGGUCACUCAGGAGCUUCAUUUGGCUUAGUCCUACAGAGGACGCACAUGUUCUCUGUCUGCUAAUCUAUAGCCCACCUGACAUGGUGGACAAAGAGAGUCCCUCAGUGACCCAUCCAUGUUAGUAAAGUCACCGCUCCCCAGCUCCCAGUUUAUAGAUGGGGAAACUGAGGCUGAAGAGGAUGUGUAUCUAUUGCAUAUACUGCUAAGUUGCUUUGCCUUUGCUUUUUGUUGUUCAAAAGUUUAGGUUAUUUUCAUGUGUGUGUGUGUGUGUGUGUGCUGGGGAUUGAACCAGGACCUCCAGCAAGACUGGUAAAUACUCUAACAACUGAGCUACCUCCUUAGCCCAGAGUUUAAUUUUUAAUAUCUGUAUGCUUUGUACACAUGUUGUUUAAUAUUUUAACAGCAAUGUGAGGUUACGUGAUCUUUUUGCAUUUAAUAUUUAUGUUUUGAAAGCCAAACAGAGGUGGUUGCUAUAGACCAGGGGCUCCAGAGAACAGCCCAACCAGUGGUUUUACACCUGGGAACUUUUACACAAACAAAGUCCAGCGUCCUAAUAGCCUUAUCUAGGUAAUUCAGACAUUGGCUGGGGAUUCUAUUUUCUUUACAAAACUCCCAAGAUAUUGAGGAUAUCUGGGUGACAAGAAAAGACGACGUUUGGAGACAGGACCCCAGAAAUGUUUUCAUUUCAUGGCCUAAAAAGGAGAAUAACAAUCUCCUACGCAGCUAGUGAAAAAUCAGGGUUUCCGAGGACAGUUAUGUGCUAACUAAUAAAAGAGCAACAGCAGUGACUACUGUGCCCCAGGGAAGUUCUUUGAAGUUAGUUAGCUGGAGCCAUGAUUUGAAUCCUGGUUGUCUAACUCCAGAAUCUCUGAUUUGUUUGUAUAGGAGCAAAACCCCACCUUUAGUUACUACUAAAGGUUAGCAUAGCUUUAAACUCUUCUAUAUUUUCAUUAGGCAUUUGGCAUAUGCUACUAUCUGUCUCUACCCAACUGUAGACAGUGGAGCCAUUUGGGGGAUGGUUCUAUGAUCUUUAAGUCCUUACCCCCAGGGCUCUAGUUUUUUCUAGACAGAACACUGCCGUUCAGAAGAGCAGUUUCACUGAAGUGAGAGGUGGGGGUCAGCAGGUUAAUAGGGCUGUGCUGAGGACAGAGAAUUAAAAGUGUCCUGGACCAGCGGAGGCCUAGGAUGCAAAGAAAGAGAUGCAUCAGGUGCUACCACCAGGAGAGAAAGUUGACAAACCUGUAGUUCUGCCAGCUAAGGGGAGACAAAGGGGAUCACCACAGGGAAGACCCUAGGAGAGAGAGAGUUCCUCUGGGAAUUAGCCUUGGGAAGGCGAGAACGGUUCCUCUGAAUUUUAGAAAAACAAGCACUGUCAAAGACACAGCAAGGGUUUCCCGGGGGAAGCGAAGCAGGCAAAAGGAAGAGCAAUGGGGCGGGGAGACCAGUUAAAGAAGUUUCUUCCAGCCUUCACUGCUGAAAGUCAGGGAUCUGAAAAUUCACUCCAGGAUCCUGGAGAUUUACACAGGGCUUAGAACUUAAAAAACGAAAACAACAACAACAACAACAACAACAACAACAACAACAACAGCAGCAGCAGCAGCAGCAGCAACAACAAAAACUAUUAUCUGCAUGGUUUCCUUUUUAAAUGGGGAGUGGGGUUCAUUUAAUACGCAAAAAAGAAAUCAAAAUGAUAGAACGGAUAUAGUCUCUGAAUAAAUCUACUCUGCUUUAUCACUAACUCAUUUGCUGUCCUUGUUUUUCUCAUUUCGCCAGGAAGUAUGAUUCCUUCCUCCAGGACCAGUGCGUGGGGAGCGCGGCUCCAAGCCGCCCACGCUGGCAGCCGCUUGCCAUCAUCGCGGGGUGUGCGCGGAGCCUGACACCCCCGCUGGAGCCUAGAGCCGCUCCUGCGCUUCGACACCCUGCUCCGGGCUAAGAUCCCGCCAGCCGGGCAGAGCAGGAACCGACUUCCAGGUGCAAGUCUUGCCAGUCCGAUUCGGGACAAACCAGGUCACCCACUGAUUGUCGGCUGGACACACCGCGGCAGCGCGGGGCCGGUACGGCCUUUCCUGGGUUCUAGCGCCCACCUGCACCGCGAAGUGGUAGUCCGAGGAUCUCGGUACCCACACACCCUCCUCCCAUCGUUCUGUCCCUCAGGUGUUAGGAUGCCCGCGCCUGAGCUCUGACUCUGGAUAUCCGAGGCCAUGGGUACCCCGGGUCCCGGAUGCCUGCGGAUGCUGGUGCGUGAAUUCAUGCUGGUAGCUCUGGGCGCUCACGCCCGCAUCUUCUUUGAGCACGCGCGUUAGCGGCACCCACGCGGAGCCAACCCGAGGUACCGGGAGAAGCUCAUCUUCCCAGCACGCUCCUUACCUGUCGUAGCUCCAGCGG